GCUCAGUUGGUAGAACAUAAGACUCUUGGUCUUGGGGUUGUGGGUUCAAGCCCCACACUGGGCG
rnacentral:tRNA from 1 species